rnacentral:rRNA from 1 species
UGAACGCUAGCGACAGGCCUAACACAUGCAAGUCGAGGGGCAGCACAAGGAGCAAUCUGAGGUGGCGACCGGCGCACGGGUGAGUAACACGUAUGCAACCUGCCUGUAAGCGGGGAAUAACCCGUUGAAAGACGGACUAAUACCGCAUAAUACUAAAUUACUGCAUGGUAAUUAUUUAAACAUUUAUGGCUUACAGAUGGGCAUGCGCAUGAUUAGCUAGUUGGAGAGGUAACGGCUCCCCAAGGCAACGAUCAUUAGGGGUUCUGAGAGGAAGGUCCCCCCACACUGGUACUGAGACACGGACCAGACUCCUACGGGAGGCAGCAGUGAGGAAUAUUGGUCAAUGGACGAGAGUCUGAACCAGCCAAGUCGCGUGCAGGAAGAAUGUCCUAUGGAUUGUAGACUGCUUUUGCAGGGGAAUAAAGUGCAUCACGUGUGAUGUUUUGUAUGUACUCUGCGAAUAAGGAUCGGCUAACUCCGUGCCAGCCGCCGC